rnacentral:rRNA from 1 species
AUUGAACGCUGGCGGCAGGCCUAACACAUGCAAGUCGAACGGUAACAGGAAGCAGCUUGCUGCUUCGCUGACGAGUGGCGGACGGGUGAGUAAUGUCUGGGAAACUGCCUGAUGGAGGGGGAUAACUACUGGAAACGGUAGCUAAUACCGCAUAACGUCGCAAGACCAAAGAGGGGGACCUUAGGGCCUCUUGCCAUCGGAUGUGCCCAGAUGGGAUUAGCUAGUAGGUGGGGUAACGGCUCACCUAGGCGACGAUCCCUAGCUGGUCUGAGAGGAUGACCAGCCACACUGGAACUGAGACACGGUCCAGACUCCUACGGGAGGCAGCAGUGGGGAAUAUUGCACAAUGGGCCCAAACCUGAUGCAGCCAUGCCGCGUGUAUGAAGAAGGCCUUCGGGUUGUAAAGUACUUUCAGCGGGGAGGAAGGGAGUAAAGUUAAUACCUUUGCUCAUUGACGUUACCCGCAGAAGAAGCACCGGCUAACUCCGUG